rnacentral:lncRNA from 1 species
UUUUUUCGUUCCUUUUUUUUAAACAUGUGGGCUUCGCCUAGCGAGCAUGACAGUUCAUGAACAAACUUUUGCUCCUUCAAGAUUAACGUUUUGACUGACGAAUAGACCCCAUUUGAACCUGUUGGAAGUAUCUCAAGUCAUUCCCUUGUGUUGACUGAUCAUCUAAAUAGAACCCACAAAGUGUCUUGGAUGAUACUCAAGCUUCAAACAAAAGAUGUUAGUGACACAUUUUUGUGCUUUUGGUUAGUAAACAAAAGUAAGAGAAACAAUGAUGUAUAAUUCAAGCAUGCU